AUGAAAGUUGAGGCACACAACGAUGUGUGCUGCUGGUAAAGUUUCUGGGAUGCUUUUCCUCAUAACAGCCAUCCCUCAAGAUUCUCUCCAUUUAAUGCAAUGCAUUGUCAGGGAUUGUAAUAUCUAGUCCUUUUACUGAAUCAGAAUAUAUAUAUAUAUACAUAUUAUAACACAGCUUUUGUCAUGAUCUGGAGGUAUGACUGAAAAAUCCCAUCAGGCAGCUGAGUUCCCUUGGUCUCCACCCCUGGGUGGAGCCAUCAUCUCUCCUGCAGUCCUGCAUACCUGAAGCUGAUAUUCUGGGUGAUCAGGUUGAGGAUUUAAGCGUGAUGCAGACUCUCCUUCACUGCCAGUUUGACAGCGACCUCGUGCUGCUUUUCUUGGACUACCUCUCCAUUGUGGAAAAUACCAUGAACCUCACCUUCCUGCUCUCCAGCCAUCUCUCACCACCCCGGACGCAGUGAACUCAGACGUACCCACUUCGUUCCAGUCGCACCUGUUAAUUCCCAGUUUUCCCUUAUUGACCCACGGCCACGUCACUAUGCCACCCACACCCUGCUCUAGUAACACUUUGCUAUGUAUUAAUCUCUGUUUUCUUAAAUAAACA